GUUGAGUAUGCCACUAGAUGCAUAUUAGCCUAACUUUCACUUCUACUGAGUACCUUAUGUCACUUUAACUUGCCAGGACAUCCAAGGAACCUCCACUGUCAAAGAACCUAAACCCAAUGAUCACUGUUGAUAAUUCUGUCUUCUACAAAUACUUGAGGAAGCAUGAGUAAAGUACUUCUGAGAUGAACUACAAAUGCUGCAGGCUGCUUCACUCAGAACAUCUUAGGACAUGGUAUUAAUUUAUGGAGCUACACACAACCCAGCAUUCAGGGAUCUGCAGAUGCACCAGAAAGCCAACAAUGGGCAGAAUCCCUCUGAUAAAUAAUUUCUGAUACUGUUUCUGAGGAGGAUGAGAGAGGAGAACCUGAUUAAAACAGAAAACAAAUUCUGUGGAGCAAGAAAGAGAAUACAUUAUAAAACCACGUAAUAACCACAUUGGGUUGUUAUUCAUUGCAGACUUCACUGGGUUGAAGAAUGGACUUCUCUAAAUGCAAACGCACCAGUUGUCUCCACUCUGCCAAACAUAUAAGGUUUCAUAACUGACUUCCACUUUGUCAUGCUUGCAGCCAGAAGAUAUAAAGCAGUGUGAUGUCAAAUUUGUUUCAUUAAACAGAUGCCUCAAGAUCAUUGAUCAUGCUUUUAGCAGAAUGCCUUUUUUAAAAAACACAGUAUACUCCUGCCUCCAUACUCUAUUGUACUGAUGGGAUUUUAAUAUUUGCAAUAACACAUGUUGACUAAUUGUAUUUACAUUUCCUGUCUUCCAGGGAUCUGUUAAAAGAGCUCAUCAAUAUGUAAACAAAACUUGCAUGCAGACAAUAUGUAUCAUAUUAAUAUUAAAAGAUUUUCAUUACUUGAA